CUAUUAUAUACAUAAAAUAAUUAAAAACCUAAAAAUAAAAUAAAAAAAGAGAAGAAAUAACAAUAAAAUAUUAUCUUCUUACACAUUUCACCUACCUCCCACUCCACCUAAACCAAAAUUCAGAAACAACUCAUCGACCACCACUUGCUACUUCUGGCCAUUGCUAGUCAUCACCGCAAACCAAAACCAACAUCUCAAACAAUAAUGCAAAGAAUCUCCUCCAUUUGAUAUUAUGUACAUGUUGUCAAUCAACAUCAAAACAUGUUUAUAUAAGUCAAAUGAAUUCGGAAACAAUGUAAUCUGUUCAAAAUUGCUAUUGAUUUUGCCCAAAGAAAAAGAAUUGUGAAGAGGAGCAAGAACACCCUUGAGGAUAAUGAAAGCAGUGUAUAGCCAGGUAUCUCAAACGCCACCCAAGCAAUCAAAGUCACCACUAAAAUUCCUGCUGUCAGAUUUUUUUGCCUCCAUAGCAUCACAUCACAGCUAUUUCAAUACAUCAGCCUUUGAAAUUGAAUUUAUUAUUACUAAUGCGAACAAUUGUGAAAUGAGUAAUUCUAUAGCUGGAAAAUAAUUUAUGUUUCUAUUUUCUCUCUAACUCUUCACUAGAAUUUUUACUUCUCCAACACAAAGAAUCUCCCACCAGAACCUUAUUUCCCUCACAAUACAAAUACCUCUGCAGAUUUCGUGAAACAAUGCUAGGGAUUCUGGGUUUUAGGCUCGACGAGGGACAAAACUGCCCGUAUGCACAGAAAGGCGAUUUUUGAAGUAGACUUGAGUUUGAAGGGUGAAAUGGAUUUUAUGGGAAAUCAAGUAAAUGGGGAUUUCAGAGAUUUUGUAGGAUGAAUUGUAGGGGUUUGACAGAGGAGUUUUGUAGCUGCCAUUGUUGGGGGGAAGUGAAGAAAAUGCAACAGACAACAAAGAAAGAUGAUGUUUUGGUUUAGGCGUGGGUGGAGUGGGAGGUAGGUGAGAUGUGGAAGAAGAUGCUUUUUUAUUUUUAUUUCUUCUCUCUUUUUAUUUUAUUUCUGAUUUUUUAAUUAUUUUAUGUAUAUAAUAACAAAGUUAUCAUUUUAUCCAUUUCAAUUUGAUCAAAAUUAGUCAAAGUUCACUUUUGUUUGUCAACUGGAUGAUUUCCAUCCAUUUGGACAUUAGGUGCGUAUUUUUCAAAUGUUAGGAACCUCUGCUGUCACAUAUUGAAAGUUAGGAUAAAGUUUAUAAAAAAAUAAAAGAUUAGGAAUUGUUACCGCAAUUUUCCUGUUGUUUUAAUUAGGAAAUGCAGUCCACUUGAUAAGAUGAUAGGCCUAUAGAUACGUUUUAUGACACAACUAUCGCAGUUGGGGCCAUUGAGGAGAAAAAAAAUGUCAUGGGGCCCACCAAAUUUUGCUAAUGUACAACAUCUAUAUGACUAAUUAUUUAAGAAUUAUUAAUAUGCACGUUGUGGUUACUCAUAACAAACUUCUACAAUUAGUAAAAAAUGGUGAUAUAGUAUGGAG
rnacentral:lncRNA from 1 species